AGAUUGAACGCUGGCGGCAGGCCUAACACAUGCAAGUCGAGCGGUAGAGAGGUGCUUGCACCUCUUGAGAGCGGCGGACGGGUGAGUAAUGCCUAGGAAUCUGCCUAGUGGUGGGGGAUAACGUUCGGAAACGGACGCUAAUACCGCAUACGUCCUACGGGAGAAAGCGGGGGACCUUCGGGCCUCGCGCCAUUAGACGAGCCUAGGUCGGAUUAGCUAGUUGGUGAGGUAAUGGCUCACCAAGGCGACGAUCCGUAACUGGUCUGAGAGGAUGAUCAGUCACACUGGAACUGAGACACGGUCCAGACUCCUACGGGAGGCAGCAGUGGGGAAUAUUGGACAAUGGGACGAAAGCCUAGAUCCAGCCAUGCCGCGUGUGUGAAGAGGUCUUCGGAUU
rnacentral:rRNA from 1 species